CAGUCGUGCUGGCGCGAAAUCAACCCUCUCGUCGGGAGACCACAUGUUGUGACGAGCCUCAAAACCGCCACGGCGUGUGAUAUCAAGAUGAGGGGGAGCACUUUCGUGUCCGCUGGUUAACAUCAAUUUCGAACGUCAUAAAAAGGCUGGAGGGAUGUGGCUCCCUCGGGAGUGUUAUAACCUUUAGCGGAAUGUGGUGAUCGGGAUUGGAGGAUUGCAACGAAUACCUUAGGGCUGUUCCACCUGGCUUCUCUUGGUAUCCUGGUGACGACAGCCUGCUGACUUCG
rnacentral:rRNA from 1 species